rnacentral:rRNA from 1 species
GACGAGGGGUCCUAGCGUUGUUCGGAAUCACUGGGCGUAAAGCGUAUGUAGGCGGGCUUUUAAGUCGGGUGUGAAAUCCCCGGGCUCAACCUGGGAAUUGCAUUCGAUACUGGAUAGCUAGAGUUCGGCAGAGGGAAGUGGAAUUUCUGGUGUAGCGGUGAAAUGCGUAGAUAUCAGAAGGAACAUCAGUGGCGAAAGCGACUUCCUGGACCAGAACUGACGAUCAGGCACGAAAGCGUGGGGAGCAAACAGG